GAGGUGCUUGCACCUCUUGGUUAGCGGCGGACGGGUGAGUAACACGUGGGCAACCUGCCUGUAAGACUGGGAUAACUUCGGGAAACCGGAGCUAAUACCGGAUAAUCCUUUUCCUCUCAUGAGGAAAAGCUGAAAGUCGGUUUCGGCUGACACUUACAGAUGGGCCCGCGGCGCAUUAGCUAGUUGGUGAGGUAACGGCUCACCAAGGCGACGAUGCGUAGCCGACCUGAGAGGGUGAUCGGCCACACUGGGACUGAGACACGGCCCAGACUCCUACGGGAGGCAGCAGUAGGGAAUCUUCCGCAAUGGACGAAAGUCUGACGGAGCAACGCCGCGUGAGCGAUGAAGGCCUUCGGGUCGUAAAGCUCUGUUGUUAGGGAAGAACAAGUACCGGAGUAACUGCCGGUACCUUGACGGUACCUAACCAGAAAGCCACGGCUAACUACGUGCCAGCAGCCGCGGUAAUACGUAGGUGGCAAGCGUUGUCCGGAAUUAUUGGGCGUAAAGCGCGCGCAGGCGGUCCUUUAAGUCUGAUGUGAAAGCCCACGGCUCAACCGUGGAGGGUCAUUGGAAACUGGGGGACUUGAGUACAGAAGAGGAAAGCGGAAUUCCACGUGUAGCGGUGAAAUGCGUAGAGAUGUGGAGGAACACCAGUGGCGAAGGCGGCUUUCUGGUCUGUAACUGACGCUGAGGCGCG
rnacentral:rRNA from 1 species